CUAUAUAUUCAUAUAAAUUUCUUCAAUCUGCAUAGCAUUUCUAGUGCAUUGAUAUUUCAUCUCAUUGCGUAAAUUGAGAGUGAAAAAGAAAAUGAAACAAUCUCCUUCAUCUUCCCCCAUUUCUUCAACAAUUAUGAUUAAAAGUUUGGUGGUGAUGUUUACAGUGUUGAUGGGCAGCUGCGAAGCUCAAUUUUCGACUGAUUUUUACAAAAAUGGCCUGCCCUAAGGUGUUCACCGCCGUGAAAUCGGUGGUUGCGGCCGCCGUCUCCGAAGAGAAUAUACAAUUCGCCUACACUUCCACGACUGCUUUGUUCAAGGCUGCUGCGAUGGAUCGAUGAUGGUCAUCGAUAGGAUCAAGCCUAAGGUUGAAUCCGUGUGUGGUCGACAUCGUAGCCAUUGCGGCCCGUGACUCGGUGGUUCUAAUUAAUUUGAUUUUCUUUAAAAAUGUUCAUUUAUUAAAUGGGUUUGGAUAUUUGAAUUUAAGAUAAAGUGUAAUUAAGCGUACGAUGAUUUAAUCAGUUGGAAGGAGAGAUUCGAAAUCGGCAAGCCUAAUGGUGCGUUACCACCACCUACUUCCACUCUUAGCAACCUCAUCAAUCGGUUCAGUGCUCUCCGUGAGGGACAUGGUUGUCUUAUCGGGAGCACACACUAUAGGAAAAGCAAGGUGUACAUCCUUCCUUCAAAGGUAGAAUAUACAAUGAUACAUACCAACAUUCUUUGCAAAUAAAAGGCAAACCAAUUGCCCUUUCACCAAUGCUACCAAACGACACACCAAUGUGGACCCUCUCGACCACAAAACUCCGAUUCAAACCUCCUCCACUCCGACCAAGUCCUCUAUAAUAGUGGCACCACCGACUCCCUUGUCGAGGCCUAUGCCAGAAAUGGCCGAGCUUUUGACAUCGCCCCUCUCACGGGCUCAAAAGGCGAAAUACGCAAGAAUUGUAGAAAAAUACAUUGUACGUACCAUUUUAUUAUUUAAGCAAUCCAAAUGUACGUGCAUAAUGUCCCUAAGAUUCGAAUCAAAUCGCACUACUCUUAUUUAAAUUGACUUUAUUAUUAUUUUUAUUAA